rnacentral:rRNA from 1 species
ACCAGGGUUUGACAUACAAGUAGUAGGGAAGGGAAACUGGACCGACCUUCGGGGAGCUUGUACAGGUGCUGCAUGGCUGUCGUCAGCUCGUGUCGUGAGAUGUCGGUUAAGUCCGCUAACGAGCGCAACCCUCGCUGUGUGUUACAAGUGUCACACGGGAACUGCCGGUCAUAAACCGGAGGAAGGUGGGGAUGACGUCAAGUCAGCAUGGCCUUUAUAUCCUGGGGCUACACACACGCUACAAUGGGAAGGGACAAUAGGUUGCGAAGCCGCGAGGCGGAGCCAAUCCAGCAAAACUUCCCUCAGUUCAGAUUGCAGGCUGCAACUCGCCUGCAUGAAGUUGGAGUUGCUAGUAAACGCAGGUCAGCCAUACUGCGUUGAAUACGUUCCCGGGGCUU